GUCCCGGUAGAAUAGCGGUAUUUUCUCGGACUGUGGAUCCGAUCGCGGGAGUUCGAUUCUCCCCCGGGGCACCA
rnacentral:tRNA from 1 species